rnacentral:rRNA from 1 species
UGGUCAAGCUGCAAAGGGCAGACGGUGGAUGCCUUGGCGUCAGGAGGCGAUGAAGGACGUGGUAAGCUGCGAAAAGCUGCGGGGAGGCGCAAAGCAGCCUUUGAUCCGCAGAUCUCCGAAUGGGGCAACCCGGCCAGGGUCAUGCCUGGUCAUCCUCCGCUGAACACAUAGGCGGCAGGAGGCGAACCCGGGGAACUGAAACAUCUCAGUACCCGGAGGAAGGGAAAUCAACCGAGACUCCCCUAGUAGCGGCGAGCGAACGGGGAACAGCCUAAACCGGUGGGAAGCAAUUCCUUCCGGGGUCGUGGGACUCCAAAAUGGGACUUGAAAGGGUAGGAGAACGGUCUGGAAAGGCCGGCCGGAGAGGGUGAUGGCCCCGUAUCCGAAACCCCGAAGAGCCCUGGGAUGUUCCCGAGUACCGCGGGGCACGUGAAACCCCGUGGGAAUCUGGGUGGACCAUCAUCCAAGGCUAAGUACUACCUGACGACCGAUAGUGAACCAGUACCGUGAGGGAAAGGCGAAAAGAACCCCGGCGAGGGGAGUGAAACAGACCCUGAAACCGUUUGCCUACAUCCAGUGGGAGCACUAUGGAGCUUGCUCCAAGUGUGACUGCGUACCUUUUGUUUAACGGG